AAUCAACACUCCACUCAGACAAUGCCCAGACCUCCAGAAACCAUGUGUCAAGCUCGGAUUGCCUUAGACAGGUGCAAUUUAAGAACAGCUUUCAUCCUCUUUUCUCUCAUAUUGUCACACUAUGUGUUCUGACUUCUGGCUCCUUUCCUCACAAGAAGCUCACCCAGCUGGAACUCUUAUGGGACCUUGGCACCAGAGACCACAAAUUCCUCUUUGAAGUUUUCUAACAGCAACAAUGGAACAAAACCCAUCAGAAGAUGUCAGAAGAUAAGGAUUUUUGUCCUGAUGCUACACUUACCAGCUGUCCCUCAGUGUUCUACUUCUUAAAAAAAGAGAGAUGGAUAAACAGAGGCAACCCGAGGAUAAAGGCCUUGCUCAGUGUCACACAUUUCAGUCACUAAAUAAGACACAAUGGAUGCCAGUAUUCUCAUCCCCUCACAAAUAAAGAGCCUUCAAGCUCUUGCAGUCAACAAGAACUUUUGGAAUGAUUUCACUGCCUGAAAAGGCAGAUACAUAGGUGACACCCACAAAUAGGAAGAAAAUCAACCUGAACCUGAGUGUGUGGGCUCACUGACUCUAAGCAGUAGAGACAGAAGAAAAAGUUUUAGCAAAGAAGGGUUCUGAAAGAAAAUAAAUAUAGCUCGUUAUCAAGUGCUGUUUUUACACAGUAAAACAUGGGCAAAAUUACUCUUCUUUAAGUAGUAAUUCUUAUCUCUUGAUUAAGUCACCUACUCAUUCAUUUAAUAAAUACAUACUGAUUGUUUUCUA
rnacentral:lncRNA from 1 species